AGCAUAUUCUUACGCAUUGAAUAGGUAAAAACAAAUAGUUGGUAUGGCCUCUCGCAUCGUGCACAUUUGUCAAUGCCACAGCGCCACAUUUAAUAUGUGAAAAUUUCAUAAAGAUCAUUUCUAGGGAAAGUUCGGGUUAUCUGCUAGUCAGGCGCUCUUAUUUCAUAUUUCGUACUUAUUCCUUAUGUAUACUCAAAGAUUAUUUCAAAAGUACUCAAAGUAUGUGCACCUUGCCUUUAUUCACAAUGCGAGUUAGUCGCGUAUUCGACAUGUUUCAAGAAUAUAUCUCCACUUCAUGCUUAGCAUACACAUACAUAUAUGCUAUGUACAUGUGUGCAUAUGUGUGUGUGCGUGUAUGGGGGAGUGUAUUGGGAAACUACAUAAGUGUAUUCAUAUCCAGUGUUUGAUCAGCACGUGCUAGGCGUGUAUUGAAAUAUCUUCAGUAUCUUGCAAAUUCAAUUUAAAGCAAUCAAAUCAUCGAAUAUAAUCGAAUUGUGUGCGAUUUAUGAAUAAAGAGAAUGAUUUCUACCACAAAUUGACACCAAAUAAAACAUAAAUUUCUCUUCUAACAAAGUUAGCAGUCAAAGUUAGCUUUGCUGCAAACAAAAACGAUUUAGCUCGGAUUUUUGAAAAUCCCAUCACGUCGCAAUAUAGCACCCACAGCUCCUGAUGACUCUGCUCUGUGUGGCUCCUCGUGCAGCAGUCACAUCAUCGCCGGGCCACCGUGCCACCGUGCCACCGUGCCACCAUAUGGUGGGUGGGUGUGUAAGGCGAUGAGGGGAUUGCGGGCGGGGUGCAGAGUCGCCGGCAGCUACAAUUCAUGUGCGAGAUGAAAACUCAUCCGAGCGUAUGAUUUAUCAUCAAUGGUCUGCGAUUGCAAUUUUAAUUUAUGACAUCAAUAGCGAAGUUGUUUGGCCGGCAGCGUGUUAAUGGACACUAUUGUUACUGAACGUGGAUGUGUGUAUUUUACUGUUGUAUUUCGCCCUUCAAAGCGAAUUCAUACUUUGUCAAUAAGCUUACAGUGGUGACCCUUGUCCUGAAAGAGACUUGAAUCUUGGAGAGUAUUCUAUACUGCACGUCUGCGUCACAAAACACGAAAAUCAUCAUUUUUGCAAAGAGAACACCUUUGACAUCCUCAAGAGAUAAGCCAAAAACUUUUGCGGUCACGCCAAACAGGUAGGAGCCAGACCCCUCAAUUUUGGAUAACAAAUCGAACAAGCAACACAGAAGUCGUUAUCCUGUCAUUGGCCGUUAGAAUGCGUGGCAAAAAGGACGAUAAUCCUUGAAGGAGCUGAGGAAAAUAGAUUUUUGUCUAUAGAGAUAAAAUGCUGUAGAUCGGCCGUUUCCUUGCCAGUCAUGAUGUCUAUUUGCCAAACACUGCCAAAUCAAGGACUACACGGAGCUCUAAGGACCUUCACGACUGACAAAGCAAAUAUUUCCAGGAUCGGACUUUAAUUAAGCCAAAUAUAGAUAUUUUUAGCUCAUAUAAGCAUCAAAUUUAAUUUAUACUCGUUUUACAUAAUUUUAAGUGAAAUAAUUAAGAAAAUUAGCAUAUAAAAUAAACAAUUUUGUAAAUUUAAGCGUAAAUAAAUCGAUUGCUUCAAAUACAGAGAGAAA